rnacentral:tRNA from 1 species
GCGGGCGUAGCUCAGUCUGGUAGAGCAACGGACUCCAAAUCCGUGUGUCGCGGGUUCAAAUCCUGUCGCCCGUGCCA